UUUUUUUUCUUUUUUUUUUUCUUCCAAUGACAGUUAAUCUCAAGGUGAUUAUUUUUAAAACUAUUUUCACAAUCAUAUAGCAAUAGUAUUUAUUAGUAUUUAAUACUAGUAUUUAAUUUAUAUUUAAAUACUAUUCUCAUAGUGUUUAAAUAUUUCAAACAGAUUUCAAAAAUCCUAUUUUCAAAUACAAUCCCCAUAAUAUUUAAAGGGAAAAGAGAUGAGGAACAGGAGUCUCCAGUCCAACUUCAAGCUCAAAACAACGCCAGCUCUGAGACACAUUGAUCCAGCUGGGACUUGAAAACCACCAAGGAUGGAGACAAGAUGAGGGAAAACCACCAAGGAUGGAGACAAGACAAGGAGAAAACCACCAAGGAUGGAGACAAGAUGAGGGAAAACCACCAAGGAUGGAGACAAGACAAGGAGAAAACCACCAAAGAUGGAGAAAGGACAAGGACAAAACCACCAAGGAUGGAGAAAAGACGAGGAUAAAACCACCAAGGAUGGAGACAGGGCAAGGAGAAAACUACCAAGGAUGGAGACAAGACGAGGAGAAAACCACCAAAGAUGGAGAAAGGACAAGGACAAAACCACCAAGGAUGGAGACAGGGCAAGGACAAAAACACCAAGGAUGGAGACAAGACGAGGAGAAAACCACCAAAGAUGGAGAAAGGACAAGGACAAAACCACCAAGGAUGGAGACAAGACAAGGACAAAACCACCAAGGAUGGAGACAAGAUGAGGGAAAACCACCAAGGAUGGAGACAGGGCAAGGAUAAAACCACCAAGGAUGGAGACAGGACAAGAACAAAAACAUCAAGGAUGGAGACAAGAUGAGGAGAAAACCACCAAAGAUGAAUACAAGAAAAACUCUCUGGAUAAUCUCCACCAUCAUCCAGCUGUUCUCAUGAGGAGAAACUGUUCCUUCACACCCAAGCUCCUUUCUUGUUAUUGCUCACCCUCCUGCCCAAGGUCGACCUGCUGCAGGGAGCUGCAGUGCCAGGACAUGCUCUGGCCAUCUUGUCCAGCUCCUUGUCCCAACCCCCAGAGCUUUUCCCACCUUUCCCACUGCCCAGUCAGGCCCUGCCAAGGGCUUGGUCCAUCCCAGGGCCAGGGAGAGGGAGGUGGGUUGGUGUGGAUGGAAAUCAGAAAGCUCCUUCGUGUCAGAAAGAGCAGAACUGUGCAGAUACUCACCUGCAAAUGAGACAGCAGAUCUGAAAUCUGCCCUUCACACACACACAUUAUUUAUUACAGGUGUCAAUCUUUUUUAUCAUCAAAUUCUAUAUGAAUAUUUUUUUUUAAAUAUUAAAAUUCAAUCAGCAGUGGUCAGAUUUCUCAGUUUGUCGUCUCCAUCCUUGAAAGAAAAAGAUGAGGCAGAAGAGAUCCCAGAAUGUGGCAAUCUUUAGGAUUUGCCACUGGGCUCCAGCCCCACGCUGAGGCAGAGUGAAGCUGCCUAAUCAUGGUGUUUUCCAGCCUGGAACAGCUCUGUUAUCAGCCUCAUGCAGGCUCUGACCCCCAAAGGCUGCCUAUUGUGCAGCAGCCCAGCAGCACCUGGGGCCGCCAGCAAGGACAAUGGAUUGACCUGCUCAGCCUCUGCAAAUUGAAGCUGCCUGGGAAAAUAAAAAAAAAAAGGAAAAUAAAGAAAAAAAGAGAAGGGGAAAAAAAUAGAGAAAAAACAACGCAACAAAACCAUCCAUCUUAGGUUUAAUAGCAUUAGCGUGUGGAGGAAAAAAAUAAAAAAUAUCAGGAGUCUUCAACUGUCACAUGCAAAAGUGUCAUGCCUGCAAUGAGUCUGAUCUAAAGAGCAAAGAAUAAUGUUUCAGGACAAAACAAUGCAUUUAGCCAAUUAAGGAUGCUGUAGGUUUAAAUCACGUUUUAUUUUCAAAUAAAUAAAAGGUGAGACAAUAAACUGCAGAAACAUCGGAAUGAAACUGAGUUACUGCAAUGAAUAUGCAGCAAAUGCAAAUAUAAGGGAAUAUCUAAAUCAGGAUAUAAGAAAUGGGAAAUCAGUUAUAUUUUUUCAAGGCUACCAGAAGAAAAUGGGGAAAAGCAGACAAAAAGUACUGAUCACAAAAAGAUUUACUUCACACAAGGACAUUUUCCUUGCAGAGGCAGUGUGGCUUUCUGGAAUGUUCUAACUGCUAAAGAGGUUAAAACUGACACCAGGAAAAUUUCAGCAACACUGAAGUUAAAUAUUUUACUCUAGGCUAUAAAAUCCAUCCACACUGGAUUUGCAAUAAGGUGUCUGUUUAUACUUUUCUAACAUAAAAAACCCCAAAUUAGUGAUAAUUAGAUACAUACAGAAAGCAGAUUAUACAAAAAGCAUAAUGUAUGAGCACUAAUUUAAUUUCUUCCUAGAAAGAGUUUCAAAGGCACAGAUACCUCCCAUUUUUCAUAUUUAAUGAUACAUUGCAUUUUGGUGACAAACUGGUACUUGAGUCUUAUUAAGUUAAUCAGUAAAUAAAUACAAAUAUACCAUUCCUUUGUAGAGGUGACUUCAUCCUUGCACAAGAAAAACCCGAGCAAACUUCAGUGCUCAUUGAUGCAGUGCCUCCUAAACAGAAACUUGUGCAGUUUCUGAGCUUUUAAGAUUGGAGAAUUCAGCUGAAAUGUCUUAGCAGAAAAAUACAUAUUUAGAAGGCUGUUCCCAUCCCUGGAAGUGUCCAAGGCCAGGUUGGACAGGGCUUGGAGCAACCUGGAAUAGUGGAAGGUGUCCCUGCCCAUGGUAGGGAGUGGCACUGGAACAUCUUUAAGGUCCCUUCCAACCCAAAUAAUCCCAUGAUUUGCAAACAUAGGGACAUCUUUGAGAACAAUGCUCAGUAAAUGGCAGCAAAUACCAUUUGCCUUUAAAUCAUUCAUAUAUUUGCAUUUAGAAGAACCUGACAUGGAGUUGUAGUUGGAGAGAAAUCUUUCUGUCCUGUGACAAAUGUAUCAUUUCUCUACCACUUUUUUAUACAAAUACCACAGGAAAAUAACUUGAUUAAUGAAAGCAAAGUUCCCCCCCCCCCAAAAGCAAAUAUUUAAUUUCUCUAAUAAGUACAGCACAUCCCACAGAUUUCAAAGCAACUGAAGGAAAUAUACCCAAUACCACAGCCCAAACCAAGCCUUCAGGUAAAAGUUACUGCUGGCCAAAAUUUCUAGCCAUUCCUUGACUCUUUUGCACCAUGGAGUUGCUGAUUUUGGAAAAAUGAAGAGUCACAUCCUGCAUAAAGUGCAAUCAAAGCAGUGACUUGGCAUUUGAAUCAUCCUUUCUAAACCUCAGGUGGAGUAUUUGCAGUUAACAGACACAAAAUAUCUCUAUGUAAUUACUACUUUGCAAAAUCAACUUUCAAAAGCCCUCCCACUUUCAUUUAAGCAA
ensembl:lncRNA